CUUGGUAACUCUGUGUAUCAGUUACUGCUUAAUUAGUAACAUAGAAUCACCAUAAGUAUUAGAGAAUAGGAAGUAUACCUUACCCAAUUGUGAGUGGACCUGGGGAACAAAACAUCCAAAAAGGAUCAGAGAAAAGGCAUUCGCACAGGUGAAUCAGUGUCGGGUAGGUGCAGGGUUGGAGCCUGCAGGAAGCUAGGCAUGUCCAGCCACUGGAGUGGACUGUGAAGAGGCUGGUGUAGAAGUCUAUGAAAGAUUGCUGGCUCUUUGUAGGUAUUGCUUCUGUGAGAUUUCAGUGAAGCAUCUGGUGCUAGGCCUGGAGUGGCUGUUGGACCCCAGUCAGGAGGAAGACCAGGACUUGGGUUGGAGAAAAAUGUUCCCGCUUCUAUGGGAGGACUUUACUCUCAUUUCAGCCAGAAGAGACAGAUGAAGCUCCCUCUUAAGAUAAUUACACUUGGUGCAGUGAAAUGAUCACACUAUGCGAGACACCUGGAAGCUGAAACCAACUGAGAGAACAUCAGUUUCAGGACACCCAGCUUAUACUCACUCUGCGGAGUUGUGUGAAGCCCUGAGAGUCCAUGCCUAUCCUUCCAGUCAACUCCUUUCCUCAAGAUAAGCUGAUUGGGUCUCUGUUCAUUACAGCUGAAAUUAUCGAGACAGACACUGUGUACUGCAAGGAAACAUCAGACGCCAGAAGAGAAAACAGGAGAGCUGCCACGAAAAGGAUGGCAAAUCUGGGCUGCCUUUUGCAACAUCUGUUGGGAGUCGACAAACUGCCUGGUGAUGGGCAGCCUGGAUUAUACUGAUCAGCUGCAGUGCCAGCUCCUGACCAUGGGGAGAUUGGUUUCCAGGUCUGCUGGGCUGGUGCCGAGAACAUAGAAAAUUCUUGGAGCAGGAGAAGGC
rnacentral:lncRNA from 1 species